UUUUCUGUUCGGGCGCAAUGGGAGACCGCAAGGUCUGCCGACUCCUACGGUCGGUCCGUCAACCUGUUGUUUGCCCGGACACCCUU
rnacentral:antisense_RNA from 1 species